rnacentral:rRNA from 1 species
GACGAACGCUGGCGGCGUGCUUAACACAUGCAAGUCGAGCGGUAAGGCCCUUUCGGGGGUACACGAGCGGCGAACGGGUGAGUAACACGUGGGUGACCUGCCCUCAGCUCUGGGAUAACCCUGGGAAACCGGGUCUAAUACUGGAUAUGACUCCAUGACGCAUGUUGUGGGGUGGAAAGCCUUGUGCGGCUGAGGAUGGGCCCGCGGCCUAUCAGCUUGUUGGUGGGGUGAGGCCUACCAAGGCGACGACGGGUAGCCGGCCUGAGAGGCGACCGGCCACACUGGGACUGAGACACGGCCCAGACUCCUACGGGAGGCAGCAGUGGGGAAUCUUGCGCAAUGGGCGAAGGCCUGACGCAGCGACGCCGCGUGAGGGAUGACGGGCCU